rnacentral:rRNA from 1 species
GACGUAGGGCGCGAGCGUUGUCCGGAUUUAUUGGGCGUAAAGGGCGCGUAGGCGAUUUGAAAAGUCUUGUGUGAAAGCCCCGGGCUUAACCCGGGAAGUGCACAAGAAACUGUUGAAUUUGAGUUCCGGAGAGGAAGGCAGAAUUCCCGGUGUAGCGGUGAAAUGCGUAGAUAUCGGGAGGAAUACCAGUAGCGAAGGCGGCCUUCUGGACGGAUACUGACGCUGAGGCGCGAAAGCCAGGGGAGCAAACGGG